rnacentral:rRNA from 1 species
CUUAACACAUGCAAGUCGAACGGAAGGUUCCUUCGGGAACCGGCGAGUGGCGCACGGGUGAGUAACGCGUGGGGAUCUGCCUCGAAGUGGGGAAUAACCGCUGGAAACGGCGGCAAUACCGCAUACGCCCUCAGGGGGAAAGGCUUUAUUGCGCUUCGAGAUGAACCCGCGUCGGAUUAGCUAGUUGGUGAGGUAAAGGACUCACCAAGGCGACGAUCCGUAGCUGGUCUGAGAGGAUGAUCAGCCACACUGGGACUGAGACACGGCCCAGACUCC